rnacentral:tmRNA from 1 species
GGGGGUGUUUUGGUUUUGACAGCGCUGACGCUGGACGGUAAGCAUGCCGGGCCUCGGAACCUGUCCCGUAAAACGCAGAUUCCAAAAAAUCAGUUGCCAACAACAACUACGCACUCGCUGCUUAAUUUGCCAAGCAAAUGAGCUUAAUCCGCGACGCCAAGGCUGCGCCGCCGACGAGUAUCCCUCGGACCUUCCGCCCGGUAUCGUCCGACCAAGGGGUAUCAUCCAGACCGGGACGCUCCGGCAGACGCCUCUAAAGCCGGCUAAGACUUAAAGGCUAAGGCAGUCUUCGCCCGCCCUCCGGCAGGGACCGCUCGAAAACCAAAGGAAGGAUAAGCAUGUAGAAAGCCGCCUGGUGCGACGUUUGGACAGCGGUUCGAGUCCGCUCACCUCCAC